rnacentral:rRNA from 1 species
GGGGAAACCCAGGCUAAUACCGCAUACGUCCUACGGGAGAAAGGGGGCUUCGGCUCCCGCUAUUGGAUGAGCCUAUGUCGGAUUAGCUAGUUGGUNAGGUAAUGGCUNACCAAGGCAACGAUCCGUAGCUGGUCUGAGAGGAUGAUCAGCCACAUCGGGACUGAGACACGGCCCGAACUCCUACGGGAGGCAGCAGUGGGGAAUAUUGGACAAUGGGGGCAACCCUGAUCCAGCCAUGCCGCGUGUGUGAAGAAGGCCCUCGGGUUGUAAAGCACUUUCAGCGAGGAAGAACGCCUAUCGGUUAAUACCCGGUAGGAAAGACAUCACUCGCA